GACUGUCUGUCUUAGCAGGAGGGAGGUGCGCUGGCUACGUCUCUAGGGACUGUGUGGCGGGUGUGACCUCUCCCAGCUCCCCGCCUUCGCCCGCGAUGACGAGGACCAGGUCCGCUGCGCCUCCAAUCCCAGAUCAUGGUCGCGCAGGACAUGCUCCAUGACGCUGUGUGUGUGUCGAUCUGAAGCUAUCCUCUAUUGCAUCUAGAGGCUUGUACAAGCCAUAGAUCAAAUCCGACAAGAUAAGAAAUAUGUGUGUCUGAGGAACCAAGACGCCAAAGGUUCAGAGCGGCAUUGUGCUGAAAAAGCCAGGACAAUGUAAGAGGCUUGCACACAAGGAUCUAGGUUUCUCUACGAGCAGCAGAAUCAAUAUCCGAUAGAAUAUAACAAUUACGGACGAGGAGCCGCAACCGUAGCUUGUUGAGAUGUUGCAUAGCUUUCAGAGAACUAGGAAAGUAAUGGUGGACUCUCAUGAAGCACAAAGACAGAUAAUGUUUGAGGCAAAUUCCUUCACCGGCCCUGCGUAUGAGAAAUUCUGCAAUGAUGCCCAGCGGCAUGCUACUCUCAAGCUGGAGGUCGAGCUUAGGAACUGGAGGUCCUGCUUCGUGAGCUACGUUAGUGCUCAGAAGGCGUACAUCGAAUCCCUUGAUGGUUGGUUGUCCAAGUUCAUGCUCACAGACACCAUCCGUUAAUCCCGGGGAUCUCCUUGAUCGCGCUCGACAGGACCAGCGAGUAGCACACUACGCUGUCGACAACCGGAUCCUCCUCACAACUGACUCCGGCAUGGGCUUGCUCGCGCUCGACAGGACCAGCGAGUAGCACACUACGCUGUUGACAACCGGAUCCUCCUCACAACUGACUCCGGCAUGGUACCCAUUCCAACCCAAGAAGACGACUCAAGGGAGGACUGAUCUAUAUGUAGGCAGAUGGAUGAAUUCCAAGCCAUGAGAUAAAGUACCCUAAACCGAACUUACUAUUUAUUUGCAGUUUGCGAGUACACUUGUACUUCCCUGAUUUCUGCCCCAAAUAGCAUGCUUCCAAAUCCAUGUGUAGUUCCCUGCCUGCUAUGUUUCCAAUCAGAUAAUUUUGGCCACCAAAAUUUCUGGUUAUUUAGAUCGCACUUUUCUGUGGGACAAUGCAGAAAAGGUGUGUUUUGAUGCUCCCAAUAUAAAGGGUCAGGCUUGUCUCAUAAUGAUUCAGGGAGAUAAAAUUUCUUUUAGAAUGUUUACCACUUUGGCUUGCUUUUGUAAUGAACCAAGAUGAAUGAUGUUUGCAAAACUGAAGCUUCAACUACAAUGCUAGGUUCUUAGAUGUUAUGAAGUUUCAAGUGUUCUACUGCUAUCUAUUUCCUACUCGCUCCACUUCUUUUGUAAGGCAUAUUUUGAUUUGAUCAGUUAAUGCUUUGAAUAAUAAUUACUCUAUUAAUAGUUGCUGCAUGUGAAUAAGUUAAUAUUGGAUUCAUUUCUUUGGGGAGCUAAGCCAUGUAUUUGCAAUUUUAGUAUUAGUUAACAUAAAAUAGAGAAAUGUCUGGUAGCUUCGUAGGUAGUUACUCCAUUAGUAGGUGGUGCAUGUGAAUAAGUUAAUAUUGGAUUCAUUUCUUUGGGGAGCUAAGCCAUGUAUUUGCAAUUUCAGUAACAUAGUUAGUGUAAAAUAGAUAAAUUUCUGGUAGCUUUGUAGGCAUUGAAGAAAAAACAAUAAAUCCCUUGCUAAAUAUACCAAGGUGAUGUCCACAUAUAGCCUUGGCUUUGUUUGUAAAGAAGCGAGUAGACAUUCUACUUUUGUGUAAGUUAAAGAUAUGCUUUGAUGUAUUUCUUCAGUGAACAACACCGGAUUUUCGUAUGAGUUGCCUAUUUAUAUUUUGAUAUUUACAUAAUACAUUCACCAAGUAAAUCAGGAAGUAUGCAUCUAUACUGGAAAGGAAGCGCUCAAAUGUGAUGUGCAUCAAAUACUUAGGUCAAUCAGUGCCUUUUUUUUGUUGCCCUCAGUGUAUUUUAGUUAUGAUUUUGCAUCCCGACGUGUUUGACAAUCUAGGUACAUUAAUUAUGCUCGUGGUCAUGGUAUGUCUGAUUGUAGGUGCUCUAAAAUGACCUAUACUUAGCAUUUUUUCCUCCAAAUGACUUAAUAUGCUUAGCUAGCUCUAAAAUGACUUACGAAAUGCCAUAUUUUAGCUCCGAAAUGACUUCAUAUGCUUAGCUAGUUCCAAAAUGACAUAAUAAACUUAUUAGUUCCAAAAUGACCUUACUUAGCAUUUUUUACACCAAAAUGACUUAGUAUGCUUAGUUAGCUCAAAAAUGACAUAAUAACCAUACUUAGCUCCAAAAUGACCUAUUUUACAGAUAUAAGUUGCAUCAUAAUAAUCUUCACAUUUUAGUUGCAUCAUAAUAAUCUUCUUCUU